UACGUAGGGGGCAAGCGUUGUCCGGAUUUAUUGGGCGUAAAGAGCGUGUAGGCGGCCAUACAGGUCAGCUGUGAAAACUCGAGGCUCAACCUCGAGACGUCGGUUGAAACCGUUUGGCUAGAGUGCGGGAGAGGAAAGUGGAAUUCCUGGUGUAGCGGUGAAAUGCGUAGAUAUCAGGAGGAACACCGGUGGUGUAGACGGCUUUCUGGACCGUAACUGACGCUGAGACACGAAAGCGUGGGUAGCAAACAGG
rnacentral:rRNA from 1 species